UGAUUAUCUGAAAAUUGAAUUCCUCUCAUUCUCUUCUUCGCCUCUUGCCCUUUCGCGACUUGCCGCCGGCUUCACCUCAUCAUCAAUCGCCAUUCCGCCUCCCCCACCCGCCACAACCAAUCGCUAAACCCCUACCCAGUCCGGCUCUCGCCUCUUCUUCCCAAUCUUCCGUUCGUUGCCGCCGACUGCGAACCGAGACCGCAAACUAGAGGCCGUCGCCAUCGACUGCGAACCGAGACCGCAAACCAGAGGUCGUUGCCGUCGACGGAGAACUAGAGGUGUCUUCAACCGUGCCCGUAGCUCUACCAGUUGGUCCCAAGGGGAUACAAAAUUUCUGGCUGCAGAGGACAAAGAAGAACGAAAACGGGGCAGAUUGCUCAUGUAUCAAAGACAAACUCAACGUAUCGAGUUGAUUAGGAUGCUGCAAAAAAUGCUUUGGUGUAUAAUACUUGCGAGAUGAAGGCUAAAAGAAGACAUGCUGAUUACAUUGUUAGUUAGUGUGGAUUGUUGUUUGUGAAGACUAUUAUAUUGUUAGUUUAGACUUGAAUUGGAUAUUAUUACUUAUUAAAUUUGGAUUGAUAAUGUAUUAUUACUCGAAUUUAAUGUAGAUUGAUAAUGUUUUAGAAUUUUAUAUUUUAGAAUUAA